rnacentral:rRNA from 1 species
GUGGAUUAGAUACCCUGGUAGUCCACGCCGUAAACGAUGUUCACUAGGUGUUGGGGGUAUUGACCCCCUCAGUGCCGCAGUUAACGCAUUAAGUGAACCGCCUGGGGAGUACGGUCGCAAGACUAAAACUCAAAGGAAUUGACGGGGGCCCGCACAAGCGGUGGAGUAUGUGGUUUAAUUCGAUGCAACGCGAAGAACCUUACCUGGGCUUGACAUCCCGGGAACCCCCUGGAAACAUGGGGGUGCCC